UACAGAGGUCUCAAGCGUUGUUCGGAUUCAUUGGGCGUAAAGGGUGCGUAGGCGGUGAUGCAAGUCUGGUGUGAAAUCUCGGAGCUUAACUCCGAAAUUGCACCGGAUACUGCGUUGCUCGAGGACUGUAGAGGAGAUCGGAAUUCACGGUGUAGCAGUGAAAUGCGUAGAUAUCGUGAGGAAGACCAGUGGCGAAGGCGGAUCUCUGGGCAGGUCCUGACACUGAGGCACGAAGGCCAGGGGAGCAAACGGG
rnacentral:rRNA from 1 species